rnacentral:lncRNA from 1 species
AUCGGCAACACGGAAAACUAGGGCGAGGUGUUUGAGAAAACUGAGCACUGAAAACGAUUGCUUCUGCUUUCAGGAAAUAGAUUAUGUUGCGGUUCCUUCCGUGCAAUACAUUAUAUGGUACUGAAAGAUCUAAAAAUAAGAAAUUUUGAUGCUUGAACUUACCUUGUUACUUUUUUGUCGCUUCAAAAUUGCUACCCCAUGUCAAACAUAGCCGACACCCCGC